CAUAGGGCUGCGCCCUAUGUUAACAGAUUACGCCCUUUCAGGGCU
rnacentral:sRNA from 1 species